rnacentral:tRNA from 1 species
ACCCCUGUAGCUCAGCAGGACAGAGCGUCGCACUACGAAUGCGAAGGCCCCAGGUUCGAGUCCUGGUAGGGGUA